CUUUUUCUGCAUAUAUUAAGAUGAUUACAUAAUUUUUAUCCUUCAUUGAUGUGGUAUAUCACAUUGAUUUGUGUAUGUUGAACCACCUUUGCAUCCUUGGAAUAAAUCCUACUUAAUCAUGGUAUAUGAUUCUUGUAACGUAUCGUUGAAUUUAGUUAGCUAAUAUUUUCUUGAGUUUUGCAUGUAUUUUCAUCAGGGAUGGUGGUCUGUAGUUUUCUUCUUGUGUCCUUGUCUGGUUUUUGUAUCCGGAUAAUGCUGACUUCAUUAAAUGAAUUUGGAAGUAUUCUUUCCUCGUCUUCUUCUUCUUUUUUUUUUUUAGAAGAGUUUAAGAAGGAAGGAGACAUUAUUUUAAAGGAACUUAUCGUUAAUUAUUGAUGUUUGGUAGAAAUUAAAAACUCAAACGCCUUUAUAGUUUUCUCUGAUUUGCCUAAUUUGAACAAAGGAUUGAUAUUUAUUUCCUCUUGAAUUUAUGCUGUUAUCUUUAAAGAAAUAAACAUCAUUCAUUUGUUUUCAUUACUUCUCUCAUUCAACCAGCAAAAUCAUUGCAUUAUGUUAUGAGUUAGGCAUUGGUCCCAUGCUGGGUCCAUAAUAUAAUAUAAUAAUCAUUCUCAAGAAAAUUUUAUUGCAUAAUCUUUCUCCCUUUAAUGUCACUCUUUAAAAUUAAAAUGAAAUCAUAGACUAUUAAGGUUAAUGGAGACCAGCACUGGGGUGUGUGUGUGUGUGUUAAUGUCUCUGUGCUUAUGAGCAAGUAUAAAUCUCAGUAUUUAGAAUCUCUAAUCCACUCUAGAGAAGCAAACUAUUCUUUCCAGCAAGCAUCGUCAUUAGCUGCCAGGUUCUCUGUACCUGUACAGAGGUAUGAGUAAAGAAAAAAUUAUUCUGACACUUGUUAAAAUGAUAAGAAAGACUUUAUUCAAGACCAUUGCAAUAGGGGCGUUGUAAUGAGAGAGAGAUCAGACUCAACUCAAAUACAGCAAAGAUGGCUGGGAAUUUACAGCCAAUGAGCAGAGUGAGGAAGUCAGUAGAUGGAAAAUUACUAAGAGAAGACAUCAAAGGUAGGAGAAUUCUUACUGAAGGCGGGUCAAGGACUUACACAUCAAAGGUAAAAGAUGAAGAAAUCAGAUAUUAAGGGUGAUCAGAUUUAACUGCUAAAUCGGAAUAUAAAAAACCAAAUCCAUACCUAUUGUCACCAAUGUUAAAACCAGAAGUGUAGAGGCAUACAAGUCAGCAAAAAAGAUUUUUGUCUUUUGAAAAUGCUAUGAUAUUGCUGUAAUUUUUCUAUUUUUUCAAAAAGCCAUGAAACCUUGUAUUUACCUGCCUCAAAGGAUUCUCAAGGCCCCUUCCAGUUUUAAACUCUGAGUUCCUGGGGUUAGGCUAAGAACCAGUUUUCUUCCAGGCUGAGUUUUUCCCAGUGGGGCCUGCUGUCUCCUUUAUUAUGAUUACAACUUUGAUUAUUUCCCCCCAGCCCUUUACUAUGAAAAUUUUCAAACAUGCAGAAAAGUUGAAGCCAUUAUAUACUUAGUACCCAUAUGCCCACCAUUUAGAAUCUACAGUGCAUAUUUUGUUUUAUUUGCUUAAUCAUUUGCCUGUCUAUCAGUACAUUCUUGUUAUUUUUAAGUGUUUCUUUUAGUCCAGUGGCUUCGCUUUAUGCUAUUAAGUUAUUUUCCACAGUAAAAUAAAAAUUAGGUUUGAGUACCUUUGACAUUCUCAGUUGAGAAAACCACAAAUAAUUGAGUCCUCAUCCAUGUAAGGAAGGGGACCCCAAAUUUAACUUUUACAACAUUGGCACCCUGCAAAUGCUCACUCAGUCUGUACACUUUCCAUAAUUUAGCAUGCACAUAACUGAGAGCUUUACAUGGGGUCAAAUUGGAAAGUAUAAUUGUGUAAUUAAAUCAGUAGGAAAUUGUUUGACUUGAAUCACUCCCCUUUUCAACUAGUAGGAGUGCUCCAUUCAGUAAAGACUUCAGAAUAUGUUGCCUGAAAAGUGCUUAUGAUGAAUGAAGACAUCAUUGUGCCGUGUUUUCCUUUACUUUCAAAGUACAUAUUAUCCACUGGGAGGUUUAGGGAAAUCAAAAUACUUGCUUAAUUCCUUUUUCCGGUGUGGUCAGAUCAGUUGGGUCUUCUGGAAUGUCAAUCUGUAGUGUUUUGUUAUACUAUUUCUGACUUAGUUUUCUCUAAAUGGCUGUAAAAUUUAAAUGCUUAUCUGUAUAUUCUCUCUGUGUAGAUUUUAUGCUUCCUUACUUAUAAGAGAGAAUGAUGAUACCACCAAGUUACAUCUGUAUAGCUCUGGAUGAUUAUUAAGACCCUGCCAUGUACACUUAAAUGAAAGCAUCUGUUAUCCAUUUUUAAUAACAGAGGAAAAUGAGGCUCAGAGAGAACCUAAGUUACUUUAGAAUCUUACGCAGUCCCAGGAUCCUGGUGACUAUUAGGGAAUCAUUGAACCUGACCAUUCGUUGUGUGAAAUUAUUCAUUGAUAAAAACAUAUUUAUCCCCGUGAACAAAAUGUCACAGAAAAGAAUGUAAUGUAUUUUGUUACUUAAAAAGAAACUAAUAAGGCCUAAUCUCCAGGGGGCUAUAAAUUGGAUAAGGUCAUAUUAGCACAUCAAGUUUCGGAUAAAGAGAUGCUUUUCAAAGCUUUUAAAAAUACAAUUAACCCUUGAACAACAUACGCUUGAACUGCACAGGUCCAUUUCUAUGUGGAUCUUUUUCAAUAAAUGCCUGUACCAUUUUUGAUUCAUAAUUGGGAGUCUGUCGCUGCAGAGGGCCGACUGUUUGCAUCGAUCUACACCAUUUUAUGUAAGGGACUUGAACAUCUGGAUUUUGGUAUCUGCUUCUGAGGGAUGUUCUGGAACGAAUCCCCCGUGGAUUCCAGGGGACAACUGGUAUAGUUAAAUUUUGGAGAAGUCAGAAGUUAUAUGUGAAUUUUCAACUGUGCUAACCCUCACAUUGUUCAACGGUCAACUGUUUUAUUGAGUAUAAUAGACUUUGUUGAUUAUACCAGGCUUUCUUAGUAUAUGUGAAUUUCCUAAAUAUAACAGUCUAGGCCUUCUAACUGCAAAGUGUCUUUUUCAUAUUUUAAUGUUUUUAGAACCCUGUAAAUAUUAUUACCAACCUGUACAUUUUUUGUGGUGGUGUUUUUAUAAAGUUAAUAAAUAGAUUAUGUGUUUUACUAUUAAUAGCUGCAUAGAAAUGAGGAAAUAUACUUAGGAAUUCUGAACAAUGGGGUUCAAAUCAUGAGUCAAUUUUUAUGAGAGUCCUUUUAAAAUAUACUUUGGAGGUUCUGUUACCUACAUUCUUAAGCAGAAUCAAGUUUUUUCAAGUUUCAAAGGAAAUUUAAGGCCAUCAAGACUAGCAGCACCAGUGUAGCAUUGGUUUGCUGUUCUUUAGCGUCGUGAGCUUUUGCAGGGACUGUCUUGGAGUACGUGCAUCAGUGACUUGCGCAAGUCAGGCCUAAUAGAGUUGUGCUGGAUAUAAUUAAUUAGUCAUCACAGGGCUGUGGAGCAGAAAGAGUCAAUUUGCCAAGCUGAGAGGACCAAAAUAAUUUGUUACUUAAGCUAUUAAAAAAUGGUGCCCCUUUACCAUGUUACCUUUUUCAUGUAAUUUUAGGAAGAAAAAAAAUCUCAAGUGAUAAAUUGAUUUUUUUUUUAAAAUAAAAAUGCUGUGGAUUAUAUUUAAGUAGUCUUUUAUGUUGUACUAAUAGUUAUUCUAUGCCUUUUUGAAAAGGUGAACACUGACACAUUAGAAUUCACAGCUGGCAAAAAGAAAAGAAAAUAAAUGUUUAUUGAGAAGCAAAUUUUAAGGUACAGUGAAUAUGAAUAACCCAUAAGAGGGUGUGAGGGGAGGGAGCGAACCAAACUGGUAUUCGAACUAAACUGGUAUUCAUAUAGAACUAUUAAGAGGUUUUUUUUUCUUAAUAUAAAAGAGGAAAUAGCUACAAUAGUUUUUUGCAAAUAAAUAGCCUACAAGAUGGAAUUCUAAAAUAUAUGUUUCAAAAAAAUCAGGCAAUUUUAUGAGCCCUUUAGGACAGCACUUAUACCCCGUGUAGCGGGUUUAGAGAGCCAGAUUAGAUGGCCUCUUGGCACCCUUCCCUGUGCUUAUUCAUAAUGGGGCCAUGCUGCCCUGUUAGAACCUGGUGUCCAAGCCGGGUUGGUGAUUUAGUGCAGCAGCAAAUGGGAAGAAGAAAAGAACUGGCAACUCAGACUAUAGCAGCUGGUGUUUAUUUUUUUAAAAUAUCUAGGUGCUCAGAUGGGAAUUGCAUGUGCCAUGGUUGAAGCCCCGCCUCUCCUCCUCUUCCUGUACCCCAGGUCAUCAGGAUUAAAUAAUGAGUUUUAGAAAAAUGACCCUUAAGGACUAAUUUAAGACCCUACUCUGAAGAACUGCCCAUGAUUCUCCAGAACUAAAGGUAUUGGUUCUCAAGCUGACCUGAAGAGUUUCUGUGUCAUCUGUACAUAAAUAUUUGCCAUAUUGGAAAUUAAAACUGAGAAAUUUAAAAGAUAUCAUAGAUUCAUUAAAAAAUAAGUACGUAAAUAUUUUUAAUGAAAAGUAACCAUGUUUUCCAAAACAAAAACCAAUUUAGUAAGAAGAGUGGUGUCGUUAUACACUCUCGCAAUUCUCUAAAGUGUCUGGCUUAAUGGAAGACAGCUGGAUUCUUACCUGCUUCUGCAUUUAAUCUCGUACUGUCACACUCACAAGUAAACUCCACUAAUACUCAUGAGAGAAUGAGAGUGAAAAAGGAAAGCAACACCAUAGCAUUAUGUUGAAAGUCAUUUUGACCUCAUGUAUCCCUUGAAAAGGUCUUGGAGACCUCCAGAGGUUGCCAGACCAUAUUUUGAGAACCAUACAGAGGAUAAAGAGCAUCACUUUCUAUCUCAUUUUUUAACUUUUUAUAGAUAGAAAAACUUAGACUACUUUUAAAAAGUUAUGGUGAAAUGUAGUGCUUCCAUUUCUGGCAUGAAUGUUAGUACUGAUUCAGGAGGGUACUCUUGCACACUCCUUGUGGUCUUUGUUCCACAUGUAGAGUGCUUCGUCUUUUCCAAAGUUUUGGCCUUUUAAGACUUACAAUUGAGCGGGGGUUAGUGUUAUCCAUCUUUAACAGAUAAUAAUAAAAGUGAUAGGGGUCAGAAUUCACUAAUUAGGCCUAUAGAACAAGUCUGAGCAUUUAGGAUUAUAGCAACUCUUGAAUUAUUUACUUUUCUUUGUAUCAUUAUCAUACAUUUACUGUAUACUUCACAUGGGCUAAGGGGCAAAAGAUGCAGAGGUUUUAACCUGAAGAGGCUUAGACUCUUGCUGGGAAGAUAAAUUCAUGAAAAGAUUAAAACUUGAACACAGAGUGACAAAGGAGCAGCAUGAUGUUGGGAGAAGAUUAGUACUUCCACGAGGCAGUGUGAGGUUUUCUCAGCUCUUCUAACCAGCUUGUGGUUCCAGCAAAAGCUGGCUCACUUUUUAGUCCUCAGUUGGUGUUUUUAUAAAGUUAGGGCAUUGACUCAGUCCUUUCUAGCUGUGAGGUGCUGAGGAAGUAGCAUAACAAGUUGUGCACUGAUUACUUAAUUUCUACUGACUUUUAAGUAGGAUACCUGUAUUCAGUUCAUAAAAAUGCUUUUUCACUUUCUUUGUCUUAAGUAAAAUCUCUGAAGGAUAUGUAGGCUGAAUAUGCAUUUCAGUGAAAGGUAGAAUUGAAUUAAAAAUCUAAUUACAUUUGAUUUAAUGAUGCAAAUUUCUACAUCUAACAGCGUAGUAAGCCAAGGAUGGUGAGGUGGUAACUAAGUCUCUUGCCUGGAGGACAGCCUUUCCUCCCCUUCCCUGACUGCAUUGGAGGGAUGAGCACCAAGCGUAGAUUCUAACGUUGUUUCUAGAACGAAAUAAAAAUCAGCUUUUACAUAAACAGCCUAUCUUAGAUUUUAAAAGGGACUACCAUUUUAGGCUUUCCCUCUCUAAUUCUUUUAGAGUAAUGAUACAGUUACUGUAUAGUCCGGAAAAGUUAUGAUUUGAACUAUUUGUCUAAAAUGAGAAGUGCUGCAAAUUUUUAUCAGUGAAAAGGUAAAAUUAGUGUGGUGAUGAUUCCACCAUAAUUGGUUCCAGUUGGUUCUACUCGGGGAUGUCCUUUUUUGAGGCAUGAUUCAGCUACAGCCAAAUUAUAAUUUGUAAAGUCACGUGGAUGUCGAAUCAAGUCUGUGAAAAGUUGAAAAAUGUGAAAUUGGUUGAAACUUCCUUCCGCUCCAGAAAAAAGGGAAUGAAGAUUACAGCCAGUUUUGAAUUUAGCACCUCUCAUUGCCGGACCGUAGGUGACCCGAGGACAUUCGGUGUUCUCGGAUUUGUGCUGUCACUCGGUGGAGAGCUAAUGUCCUCCACUUUGGCAGUUAAAUUGCUGUGGAAAGCAGCUGUAUUUGAUGCACUUCUGAUCAAUACCUUGUACUUAUAUG